GGCGGAAGUAUCUGGCUGUCGAGUAACCAGGUUCUAGAUACUUUCAAAACGUACUUCGCUUGCGGGGUUUUUAUUGGAAUUAUCAACAUUGUCGCUGGAAUUAUCCUGAUUACCGCCCUGAUACAGGGUAAAGAAAACGUCGUUCUACUAUAUCUCCUUAUAGAGUUCGUCAUCUUAUUCACUCUAACGAUAUUCACGGCCAUGAACAAUUUGGAUUUUGAGAAUUUUUCGCCGACGUUUCUGGUAGCUUUCUUCCUUUGUAUAUCUCUUUGGAUCGGAUAUUACAACGUUUACCUUUUUUACUUGGAAUUACAAAAAUAUAAUAACAGUUCCGUCCAAGCUGGUGUGGAAGAAAUCGCUUGUAAUACUCACCCUAACCCUAUGGAGUCAUUCCCUGAAAAAUCUUUGGACACCACGACAGUAUAGAAGAAGAAGAAGAAGACGAGAGUCUAUGUAGUAUGGUAUUAACUACGUUAAGGCUUAUGCGCAUGUUUAAAUUAUUAAGUGUUUAGCGAAUAAAAUGCAACGUUGCCAAUAUAUUUUCAACUAAUGUGCCUAUACAGGGUGUUCGAAAAAUAGACGGAAAUACUUCAAUGGGUGAUUCCUUGUAAAAAAAAAUAUGAGAUAAAGUUUCUAUAAACAUGGGUCCGGAAAUGCACAGUUUUCAAGAUACAGGGUGAUAAUUUUUUUUUUUUAAUAUUAAAUUUAAAAAAAUAUUUACUCGAUUCUUUUCAAAUUUGGCAGUAUUACUUGUUGUAUUAAGAGGCUAAUUUAGCCCUAAUUAGAUUGAAAUUAUAAGGUCCAGUGGCGUCUCGGGGGACAUCUUAGCAAAUAUUAUUGGCAAAAAAAUGUACACCACUGCAACUUUAAUAUUUGCAACUUUUUGGCCUCUUGUAUUUUUUUCGUAUCUCACUUCGUUUUCGACAAAAAAAAAUAAAUACCGUUUUAUUGCAUGCCACUGGACAUAAUUGGU